GCCGAUCCUGAGUUCGGUUCGUCGGAAGCCAUAGUUGUGUUUCUUAUCACAGAAAACAUUAAGUGGGUUGUUGCCUGGAGGAAUAUGGCUAAUGAAGACAAUAAGGUCUAUACUGAUAUUACUACUGACAGCAAAAUUAAUUGGGACUUUUACAAAGAACAACUG